rnacentral:tRNA from 1 species
GGGCCGCUAGCUCAGUCGGUAGAGCAGUUGACUCUUAAUCAAUUGGCGCGGGGUUCGAGUCCCCGGCGGCCCACCA